rnacentral:rRNA from 1 species
UGAGGAAUAUUGGACAAUGGGCGCAAGCCUGAUCCAGCAAUGCCGCGUGUGUGAAGAAGGCCUUCGGGUUGUAAAGCACUUUUAUCAGGAGCGAAACGCUGUCGGCUAAUACCCGGCGGAACUGACGGUACCUGAGGAAUAAGCACCGGCUAACUUCGUGCCAGCAGCCGCGGUAAUACGAAGGGUGCGAGCGUUAAUCGGAAUUACUGGGCGUAAAGCGUGCGUAGGCGGUUUCUUAAGUCUGCUGUGAAAUCCCCGGGCUCAACCUGGGAAUGGCAGUGGAUACUGGGAGGCUAGAGUGUGUCAGAGGGUGGUGGAAUUCCCGGUGUAGCGGUGAAAUGCGUAGAGAUCGGGAGGAACAUCAGUGGCGAAGGCGGCCACCUGGGACAACACUGACGCUGAGGCACGAAAGCGUGGGGAGCAAACAGGAUUAGAUACCCUGGUAGUCCACGCCCUAAAACGAUGCGAACUGGAUGUUGGUCUCAACUCGGAGAUCAGUGUCGAAGCUAACGCGUUAAGUUCGCCGCCUGGGGGAGUACGGUCGCAAGACUGAAACUUAAAUGAAUUGACGGGGUCAUAGCUGUUUCCUG